AUACCUGCAAAGGGGAGCCGGAGAUUGGCCGGCUGAGAUAGUGUACCGAUACACUGACCCUCACAACCUGAUCCGGAUUAUGCCGGCGUAGGGAUUGCGCAUGGUUUCAGA
rnacentral:ncRNA from 2 species